rnacentral:lncRNA from 1 species
AAAAAGAUGCUUUCCCUUGGCUUCCGGUGGAUACUUUUUUUUUCCCUUUGAAAUGUGCAUGGAUGGUUCCCUUUCCUUUGGAAUGGAAUUCUACAAUCCUUUGUUCCAAACACAGCCACAGAAUUCCUUUUCAAAGGAAUGAAAGACUCCAAAAUUCCUUUGAAAAACCUUUGGUCCAAACAAGCACCGGUUUGGUAGCUUAGAGAUGGGAGUCAAUGUGACAUGGACUUUGGUAGAGUUUAU